GAUGACACCUCCUUGAGGGUGUGGCCUUUUGUACAAGAGUGGGGGACUCUGAUAAUUAACCCUUUCCUUACCCCUCUGCCUUUCUGCUCACCGGAGAUCUGUCUGCCUCGACGGGUGGGCCAACUACCAACCCUGCACUUACCAGGUUCUCACCGACCUCGGAUCCACAUGACUCUGCACCCACUGACCUCUGACCUUCCUGCCUCCUGUUUCAUCAUUCCUGCAGUCUUCCUGCCAGUCUUAGGCUGAUGAGCCCUGAACGCUGCAAGAUUCAGGAGAAGCCUCCAGUUUAGCAUCUGACCCUGGACUUGGAACCUGCCUGGACUGGACAUGGACAUGCCAUCUUCUACAGUUGUGUGAGCCAUUUCUGUGAUAAAUAAAUAAGAGAUGAAGUCAA